GAAAGACAAAGCAAUUCUUGAAAAACUAAAGGAUGAAAAUAAAAUUUGAACUUUUGAAGCGUCAGAAUCCGUGAGUACACAUUUCGGGCGGAAAGUUUUUCUGCUCUCAGUCAAUAUUCUAUGGUCUCCUCUAGUCCUCUGCCUCUUUCUAUCACUAGACGAGACCCACUUCCUCACUUUCUCACCUUUUAGUUGCAGAAAAAGGAUGCAAAAUUUGUCAGGUUCAAUUGCAGUAAAAUCAGAUGGUGACAUGACAUCAAGGCGACCAAAGUUAAAUGCCGUACAGACCAUAGCUUGAAACAGGAAAAAGAAUUUACUACUUGUGAAGUUAAGCUAUCCUAUGUUGCCUAUUCUUGCAUAGAAAAGCUACCUAGAACUGUGCAGCAGGGCUGCUAAGAUACAUGUGCUUUUAAUCAAAGCCAAUUCAGUUGUUCCCAGUCCCAUAGUGGUUGGGGUAAACCAUCAACCAUAUCCACGUUGGCACUUCCUGCUGUCCCUGGGAGGUCAGCAUGAUCUCCUCCUGAGCAUGAAGUGUCAGGUGAGCUUGAGUUGUCCACCAUUCUAUGGUCUUGAGCAGAUGUUGUUGCCGCAUAACCAAGAAGUUGUGUCUCUCUUGCCACGGCUUCUAGUGGACGUCUAUCAAAUGCUCGAAAACUCCCUGAUGUUAUGUAGACUCGGCACAAACUAAAUUCAUGCCUCAGCUACGUAUAAGAAAUAUUGAUUAGAAAUGGGAGAUGGAAAAUAAUAGUAACUGCAUAAGAAACUGCAAGACUGGCUCUUUCUUUCCUUUUUUUUUUUAAAUUGAAAAAUACACCAAAAGAUUUAUUAUAAACUAUAUAUACACCUUA